rnacentral:rRNA from 1 species
GAUGAACGCUGGCGGCGUGCCUAAUACAUGCAAGUCGAGCGAACGGACGAGAAGCUUGCUUCUCUGAUGUUAGCGGCGGACGGGUGAGUAACACGUGGAUAACCUACCUAUAAGACUGGGAUAACUUCGGGAAACCGUAGCUAAUACCGGAUAAUAUUUUGAACCGCAUGGUUCAAAAGUGAAAGACGGUCUUGCUGUCACUUAUAGAUGGAUCCGCGCUGCAUUAGCUAGUUGGUAAGGUAACGGCUUACCAAGGCAACGAUGCAUAGCCGACCUGAGAGGGUGAUCGGCCACACUGGAACGGAGACACGGUCCAGACUCCUACGGGAGGCAGCAGUAGGGAAUCUUCCGCAAUGGGCGAGAGCCUGACGGAGCAGCGCCGCGUGAGUGAUGAAGGUCUUCGGAUCGUAAAACUCUGUUAUUAGGGAAGAACAUAUGUGUAAGUAACUGUGCACAUCUUGACGGUACCUAAUCAGAAAGCCACGGCUAACUACGUG